CCCUGUGAUUCUGUGGUGGUGGCACCACUCAGCCUCAGUAGAUGUGGAGAUAUGGCACUGAGAGGGACACAGCGAGGAUGGGUUGAUGGUUGGACUAGGUGAUCUUAGAUGUCUUUUCCAACCUUAAUGAUUCUGUGCAACUGCAGCCAUAUCCCCGUGUGGUUUCUGUUCUCCCCCGUGUUCUCCCUGCCAUUCCUGCUUGAAUCUAAUGAAUUAGAUUCUUUUCUUAUUCUGUCUUCUGCUCCUCCGCCGUCAUUAUUUGGCAGAGCUGUAGGCACAGACGUGUUGUAAUGCGGCAGCGAAGCCAGCUCGGGCUCCUUUUGAGCAGAACGAGCACUGCUUGCCAGCCGGCCUGCCGCUCCGCAGAGUGCUGGAGCUCCGUGCUCUGCCCGCUCCCAGCUCCGGCACCGUAACCGGCACUGCCGUGGCCCUCCACCCCAGCCUCAAACGCGACGCUCUCGAACGCGGCUCGACAGGGCGGGGGGCAGCCCGACAGGGCCGCUCUGCCCGCACCCACACGCCGCCUCUCCGAGCCCGGGGUGGGAGCGGCGGUGCGGGGCUGCGGCUCGGCUCCUCUGCGCGGUGCCGCCCCGGGGCAGGGAGGCAGGGCAGGCUGCGGGGGCCGGGCUGCCGGGGCCGGGCUGCCCCACCGCGUCCUGCGGCACUCGGCACCGCCGCCUGCAGCCGGGGAGCCUUUCUCAGAGGCGCUGCUGCCGAGAAACACGAGCGCGUAAGUAACUGAACGGGACAUGAAGAAUUGACAUUUAAAUGGCCAGCAUGUUGCAAAAGUGAUUUUACUGACAUAGAAAAGUCAUGGUGAAACAACUGUGGAUUAGAAGGAAAACUGGAAGGGAAGGGUGAAGCCCAUAGUGCUAUCAUUGACUACCACUGUUGCUUGGAAAUGGGCCAUUUGCUUUUCUUGAUGUUUCCUAUACCUUCCCUAGUGUACGGACUCUGGCUUGGAGGACAGACUGCAGGAACGAUAAAUGCUAUUUCUUAAGAGUGGUCUCAGGCUUUGUAGAGCUUGGUUUCCCUGUUCGAAGUUGGUAUUUUCAGUGGGCUGAAAUACAUCCUGCUUCUGGAAGUGCUUCCCCUUUGAUUUCCCCUUAGAUUCAUGAUACAAACUCAAGAUUCAUAGCGUAGCAGAGACAGGAAAUACAGUGGAGUACCAUUUCUUGUCACUGAGAUUUUUCCUAAGCAAACACACAAAACUAAGUAAAAAUCAGCCUCAAUUAAUUGUCCAUGAGCUCUAUAGGUAAGAGAAAGAGGAAAAUAUUAGGUCUGAUGCGAUGCUUGUUGCACACCUCCUGUGUAUGGUACUCUUAAAACUAAUACAGUUUUGUAUCAUGUAGAUUUGUCUCAUAGUCUAUGUUAGGAUAUGUUGUGGGGAAAUGGAUGUAAUAAUGUGAAAAGAUGAAGUUAGUGAUUUGUUUCAGGCAAUUUAGUUUAUUACAUUUGACAUGUUAUCAGGACUCUGAAGCUUCCUUUUGGAAACAUGUCACAUCCUGCUUUCUUAAUGAUCAUCUGCAGUCAUUCAUUGUAGUCAGGUGCUUUCUAUCGGAAGCUAGCAGAGGCUUUCUGCUGCUGCUGAAUACAGAAAUUACUUUGGAUUAUUAAUUGCAUAAAAAUUUUAUAUUACAUUUUUGGAAGUGUCUAGAGGUGAUCUCAAUAAGGUAGGCAUUGUUCAAAAUGUGAGUUGUACGGUUAAUCCUUAUUUCAAGGAAUGUGCUGUAUUAGUUCUUGAAGUAUGCAGGCACUCUAUUUCCCCAUUUUUUCUGUUAGGUUGUAUUUUUUUUGUCAGUUAAGCCACAUAUGCUUAUAUUAAUAAAGGACUUAGAGUUUAAACUAUGAUUGUACAGUAUGUUUAGUUAAAUGCCAAACAACAUGCUGAUGUCAGUAAUUUCCCAGAAAAGGCGACAGUUCUCUGAGAUUUCAGAAUGCCACUGUUCUCUGGUAAUCUUUUCUUGUCUCUUACAAGCUAGAAUUUUAUUUUGUGACUGUAGAGGUACCAGUUUGUGUUCACAGUGAUUACCUUGUGCUUAUCUGUGCCUUUAUACUGUUGGAAGAAUGUCUUUUCUUUUUCCUCACCAAGACACUAAGGACUCAGCAAUCAUAGAGCUGUAUUUCUUUUUGUGACAUCACAAAACAAAACAUGUUAAUUUGCUGUUGGAUGGUUACCAGGUAUUGUGC
rnacentral:lncRNA from 1 species